UACGGAGGGUGCGAGCGUUGUCCGGAAUCACUGGGCGUAAAGGGCGCGUAGGCGGCCUGGUAAGUAGGGGGUGAAAUCCUGCGGCUUAACCGCAGGGCUGCCUUCUAAACUGUCAGGCUCGAGCACGGUAGAGGCAGAUGGAAUUCCCGGUGUAGCGGUGGAAUGCGUAGAGAUCGGGAAGAACAUCAGUGGCGAAGGCGGUCUGCUGGACCGUUGCUGACGCUGAGGCGCGACAGCGUGGGGAGCAAACAGG
rnacentral:rRNA from 1 species